GGGUUGUGAGGUUAAGCGACUAAGCGUACACGGUGGAUGCCCUGGCAGUCAGAGGCGAUGAAGGACGUGCUAAUCUGCGAUAAGCGUCGGUAAGGUGAUAUGAACCGUUAUAACCGGCGAUUUCCGAAUGGGGAAACCCAGUGUGAUUCGUCACACUAUCAUUAACUGAAUCCAUAGGUUAAUGAGGCGAACCGGGGGAACUGAAACAUCUAAGUACCCCGAGGAAAAGAAAUCAACCGAGAUUCCCCCAGUAGCGGCGAGCGAACGGGGAGCAGCCCAGAGCCUGAAUCAGUGUGUGUGUUAGUGGAAGCGUCUGGAAAGGCGUGCGAUACAGGGUGACAGCCCCGUACACAAAAAUGCACAUACUGUGAGCUCGAUGAGUAGGGCGGGACACGUGGUAUCCUGUCUGAAUAUGGGGGGACCAUCCUCCAAGGCUAAAUACUCCUGACUGACCGAUAGUGAACCAGUACCGUGAGGGAAAGGCGAAAAGAACCCCGGCGAGGGGAGUGAAAAAGAACCUGAAACCGUGUACGUACAAGCAGUGGGAGCACGCUUAGGCGUGUGACUGCGUACCUUUUGUAUAAUGGGUCAGCGACUUAUAUUCUGUAGCAAGGUUAACCGAAUAGGGGAGCCGAAGGGAAACCGAGUCUUAACUGGGCGUUAAGUUGCAGGGUAUAGACCCGAAACCCGGUGAUCUAGCCAUGGGCAGGUUGAAGGUUGGGUAACACUAACUGGAGGACCGAACCGACUAAUGUUGAAAAAUUAGCGGAUGACUUGUGGCUGGGGGUGAAAGGCCAAUCAAACCGGGAGAUAGCUGGUUCUCCCCGAAAGCUAUUUAGGUAGCGCCUCGUGAAUUCAUCUCCGGGGGUAGAGCACUGUUUCGGCAAGGGGGUCAUCCCGACUUACCAACCCGAUGCAAACUGCGAAUACCGGAGAAUGUUAUCACGGGAGACACACGGCGGGUGCUAACGUCCGUUGUGAAGAGGGAAACAACCCAGACCGCCAGCUAAGGUCCCAAAGUCAUGGUUAAGUGGGAAACGAUGUGGGAAGGCCCAGACAGCCAGGAUGUUGGCUUAGAAGCAGCCAUCAUUUAAAGAAAGCGUAAUAGCUCACUGGUCGAGUCGGCCUGCGCGGAAGAUGUAACGGGGCUAAACCAUGCACCGAAGCUGCGGCAGCGACGCUUAUGCGUUGUUGGGUAGGGGAGCGUUCUGUAAGCCUGUGAAGGUGUGCUGUGAGGUAUGCUGGAGGUAUCAGAAGUGCGAAUGCUGACAUAAGUAACGAUAAAGCGGGUGAAAAGCCCGCUCGCCGGAAGACCAAGGGUUCCUGUCCAACGUUAAUCGGGGCAGGGUGAGUCGACCCCUAAGGCGAGGCCGAAAGGCGUAGUCGAUGGGAAACAGGUUAAUAUUCCUGUACUUGGUGUUACUGCGAAGGGGGGACGGAGAAGGCUAUGUUGGCCGGGCGACGGUUGUCCCGGUUUAAGCGUGUAGGCUGGUUUUCCAGGCAAAUCCGGAAAAUCAAGGCCGAGGCGUGAUGACGAGGCACUACGGUGCUGAAGCAACAAAUGCCCUGCUUCCAGGAAAAGCCUCUAAGCAUCAGGUAACAUCAAAUCGUACCCCAAACCGACACAGGUGGUCAGGUAGAGAAUACCAAGGCGCUUGAGAGAACUCGGGUGAAGGAACUAGGCAAAAUGGUGCCGUAACUUCGGGAGAAGGCACGCUGAUACGUAGGUGAAGCGACUUGCUCGUGGAGCUGAAAUCAGUCGAAGAUACCAGCUGGCUGCAACUGUUUAUUAAAAACACAGCACUGUGCAAACACGAAAGUGGACGUAUACGGUGUGACGCCUGCCCGGUGCCGGAAGGUUAAUUGAUGGGGUUAGCGCAAGCGAAGCUCUUGAUCGAAGCCCCGGUAAACGGCGGCCGUAACUAUAACGGUCCUAAGGUAGCGAAAUUCCUUGUCGGGUAAGUUCCGACCUGCACGAAUGGCGUAAUGAUGGCCAGGCUGUCUCCACCCGAGACUCAGUGAAAUUGAACUCGCUGUGAAGAUGCAGUGUACCCGCGGCAAGACGGAAAGACCCCGUGAACCUUUACUAUAGCUUGACACUGAACAUUGAGCCUUGAUGUGUAGGAUAGGUGGGAGGCUUUGAAGUGUGGACGCCAGUCUGCAUGGAGCCGACCUUGAAAUACCACCCUUUAAUGUUUGAUGUUCUAACGUGGACCCGUGAUCCGGGUUGCGGACAGUGUCUGGUGGGUAGUUUGACUGGGGCGGUCUCCUCCUAAAGAGUAACGGAGGAGCACGAAGGUUGGCUAAUCCUGGUCGGACAUCAGGAGGUUAGUGCAAUGGCAUAAGCCAGCUUGACUGCGAGCGUGACGGCGCGAGCAGGUGCGAAAGCAGGUCAUAGUGAUCCGGUGGUUCUGAAUGGAAGGGCCAUCGCUCAACGGAUAAAAGGUACUCCGGGGAUAACAGGCUGAUACCGCCCAAGAGUUCAUAUCGACGGCGGUGUUUGGCACCUCGAUGUCGGCUCAUCACAUCCUGGGGCUGAAGUAGGUCCCAAGGGUAUGGCUGUUCGCCAUUUAAAGUGGUACGCGAGCUGGGUUUAGAACGUCGUGAGACAGUUCGGUCCCUAUCUGCCGUGGGCGCUGGAGAACUGAGGGGGGCUGCUCCUAGUACGAGAGGACCGGAGUGGACGCAUCACUGGUGUUCGGGUUGUCAUGCCAAUGGCACUGCCCGGUAGCUAAAUGCGGAAGAGAUAAGUGCUGAAAGCAUCUAAGCACGAAACUUGCCCCGAGAUGAGUUCUCCCUGACCCUUUAAGGGUCCUGAAGGAACGUUGAAGACGACGACGUUGAUAGGCCGGGUGUGUAAGCGCAGCGAUGCGUUGAGCUAACCGGUACUAAUGAACCGUGAGGCUUAACCUUACAACGCCGAAG
rnacentral:rRNA from 2 species